ACUGCGAGGGGAGCCCGGCGGCCGGGAACCGGGAGCGCGUGAGAGGGAACCGGGAGCGUGUGAGGGAGAGCCGGGACCGACGGCGUGUGAAGGCGAGACCCCGGCGCACUUGGGCGGCACCACCGCGUUCGGGGAUAACGUGGAGGAUGAGUGGUUCAUCGUGUACCUGCUCCGGGAGAUCACCAGGGAGUUCCCGGGGCUGGCAGCCAGUAUUGAUGACAACGAUGGAGAGUUUCUCUUGAUAGAAGCAGCUGAUUUUCUCCCAAAGUGGCUGAAUCCUGAGCACAGUGGAAACAGGGUGAGUAAAACUUGUGUACAGCUGGCACGGUGGCCACAGUGACCUUUUCUGUAGCAGCUGGAGUUUUCUCUUGCACCUCUCUCUAGCCAAGUGGUCUGACUGCCUCUGAAAAUCCAGAGUGCUGUCUGUCCCUUGCUGUUGCUCCCUUCAGGAGCACUCCUGUAUCCAACAGAACUUUCUAGCUGUACUAGAACUAUUUGGAUUGUUUU